UAACACGUAUCCAACCUGCCGUCUACUCNUNNNACAGNCUUCUGAAAGGAAGAUUAAUACAAGAUGGCAUCAUGAGUCCGCAUGUUCACAUGAUUAAAGGUAUUCCGGUAGACGAUGGGGAUGCGUUCCAUUAGAUAGUAGGCGGGGUAACGGCCCACUUAGUCUUCGAUGGAUAGGGGUUCUGAGAGGAAGGUCCCCCACAUUGGAACUGAGACACGGUCCAAACUCCUACGGGAGGCAGCAGUGAGGAAUAUUGGUCAAUGGGCGAGAGCCUGAACCAGCCAAGUAGCGUGAAGGAUGACUGCCCUAUGGGUUGUAAACUUCUUUUAUAAAGNNAUAAAGUCGGGUAUGGAUACCCGUUUGCAUGUACUUUAUGAAUAAGGAUCGGCUAACUCCGUGCCAGCAGCCGCGNUAAUACGGAGGAUCCGAGCGUUAUCCGGAUUUAUUGGGUUUAAAGGGAGCGUAGAUGGAUGUUUAAGUCAGUUGUGAAAGUUUGCGGCUCAACCGUAAAAUUGCAGUUGAUACUGGAUAUCUUGAGUGCAGUUGAGGCAGNCGGAAUUCGUGGUGUAGCGGNGAAAUGCUUAGAUAUCACGAAGAACUCCGAUUGCGAAGGCAGCCUGCUAAANCUGCAACUGACAUUUGAGGCUCGAAAGNUGGGUAUCAAACAGGAUUAGAUACCCUGGUAGUCCACACGGUAAACGAUGAAUACUCNCUGU
rnacentral:rRNA from 1 species